rnacentral:tmRNA from 1 species
GGGGAUGUAAAGUCUCGACAGGAUUGCUCUUUGAAAACUGCAAGCCGCUUAGGAAACAUUAAGCGUUAAAUAUUGUUUCAAAACACAAACGGCACAUCAAAAGUGGUCCGUGAUGCCAAAGCAAUGGCUGACAAAAUGGUUGCAGGGCUUUUUGCCUCUGUGAACAUUCAACCAGCUUACGCUUAAGCGUCUGCUUUAGAUAUUAUCCUCCUUCUGACGGGAUACUAAGGUACGUACAAAGUCAGGAUGCUGUUCAUACAAUUUUGAUCGAUCAGUAUUAACAAAAGAAAGUUUGGUCAUUCAUUAGUUUUCCUGCUAAUUGGUUACAACUAAUGAAUAAAAAUUAAUUAGCUAAGCUUGUAGAGGUUUUGAAAGUUACAAUUUUGGACUCGGCUCACAGCCGACAUCUCCACCA